CCUUUAUUAUUAACAAAGUAGUAAAUAUGAAACUUAAUAAUUUGACGGUAUCUAUUAUCAUAAAGGAGUUUGUAACUUAAUCGUCAAUACACGCUUUAUCUUACUUAAUAAAAUUUGUAUACCUCCGUUAAGAUUUUAUUUAUAAUAAAAAUAAAUUUCAAAAAAACUUUAGUUAAUAAAUCAGGUCAAGGUGCAGUUUUUUAAGAUGUUAUGAACUACAAUAAAAAAUUAAAAGUGAAUUAAUUCUUGAAAAAAAUUAUAAAAAUGAAUUUAUAAAUAAAGUAAAAUUAACAUAUUUACUUGAAAAAAUUUAGAUAUGU
rnacentral:rRNA from 1 species